GCACCUGUGGGGGAGGGGCGGCAGUGGGGCACAGCGACCCAUAAGUGCCCCAUAGCGACCCAUAGCAGCCCCAUAGAGACCCAUAAGUGCCCAAUAGCGACCCAUAAAUGCCCCAUAGCGACGCAUAAGUGCCCAAAGCGACCCAUAAGUGCCCCAUAGCGACCCAUAACUGCCUCACAGCGACCCAUAAGUGCCCCAUAGUGACCGGUAACUGCCCCACAGCGACCCAUAAGUGCCCCAUAGAGACCCAUAACUGCCCCAUAGAGACCCGUAAGUGCCCCACAGCAACCCAUAAGUGCCCAAAGCGACCCAUAAGUGCCCCACAGCGACCCAUGAGUGCCCUUUACUGACCUAUAUCUGCCCCAUAGCGACACAUAACUGCCCCACAGCGACCCAUAACUGCCCCACAGCGACCCAUAACUGCCCCAUAGUGACCCAUAAGUGCCCCACAGCGACCCAUAAGUGCCCCACAGUGACCCAUAAGUGCCCCAUAGAGACACGUAACCGCCCCAUAGAGACCCAUAACUGCCCCACAGCGACCCAUAACUGCCCAAAGCACCCCAUAAGUGCCCCAUAGAGACACAUAAGUGCCCAAUAGUAACCCAUAAGUGCCCCACAGCGACCCAUAACUGCCCCAUAAAGACCCAUAAGUGCCCCACAGUGACCCAUAACUGCCCCAUAGCGAACCCAGCCCCAUAGCUGCCCCACAGCAAACCCAGCCCCAUAGCUGCCCCAUAGCUGUCCUACAGCUCCCCCAUCGUGAACCCAGCCCCAUAGCUGCCCUAUAGCUGCCCCAUAGUGAACCCAGCCCCAUAGCUGCCCCACAGCAAACCCAGCCCCAUAGCUGCCCCAUAGCUGUCCUACAGCUUCCCCAUCGUGAACCCAGCCCCAUAGCUGCCCUAUAGCUGCC
ensembl:lncRNA